rnacentral:rRNA from 1 species
UACGAAGGGGGCUAGCGUUGCUCGGAAUCACUGGGCGUAAAGCGCACGUAGGCGGACUCUUAAGUCGGUGGUGAAAUCCUGGAGCUCAACUCCAGAACUGCCUUCGAUACUGGGAGUCUCGAGUCCGGGAGAGGUGAGUGGAACUGCGAGUGUAGAGGUGAAAUCCGUAGAUAUUCGCAAGAACACCAGUGGCGAAGGCGGCUCACUGGCCCGGUACUGACGCUGAGGUGCGAAAGCGUGGGGAGCAAACAGG